GGUCCUUCUGGGAUUCCAUGGAAUGCACCUGCCCAUCCUGGUCCUGCAUCCCCUGGGCAGGUUUGGGGUGACACCGAGCUGGCAGUGGUGGCUGUGCCCCUGGGACCUCCCCAGGCUGGAGAAGUGCCCUGUGAGACCCUCCUGCAGCUCAGCAAGGACAGGGCCGAGCCCUGGGCACGUGCCCAGCUGCCAGGACAGGCUGGGGCCACCCCCACACAGGGCAGGGACAGCCUGGCACGGGGACACCGAGGUGACCCAGCAGCAGUGACGUGUCCUUGGGAGGGCCUGUGGCUCCUGGGCUGGCAUUCCUGGCGAGGAGGGGACAGUCCUGCCCCUGUGCCUGGCACCAGAGAGGCCACCCUGGGUCCAGCUGAGCUGCCCAGGACAGCAGGGACAGGGAGGGACCAUGACAGCCACAGAGGUGACACCUGGAGGGGCCGAGGGCACUGGGAUCAGUUAUUCACACUGUUGGGGGACUCAGGGAAACUGAGGCAGGAUCUUUCUUCUCAGUGGUGCCUGGGGAGAAGACAAGGGGCAGGAAUAAAGGGAAUUCUGUCCCCCUGCAGCAGGGGACAGAGCCUCACCCUGUGGGACAGGAAAGGCUCCCCGUGCUAACCUGCUCUUCCCUCUUUGCAGGCUAGGAGGGGCCGCAGGCUGGACAGCAGCUCAGGCUCGGCGGUUGCUCCUGCCAUCGAGGGACGUCUCCCCCCUCAGAAGAGGCAGUUCCAGCCCAUCCAUCACCAUCGUGCGACUGUGACCGAUCUCCGCCACCUCCGCCGGGAGCCAGCACCGGGAGCUGUCCCGAGGCCUCUCCGCGGGCUCUGCCCUCGGGCCAUUGCAUGUUCCCUCGGUGUGUGACCAGCCCCGUCCCACCCGGCUCCGCCUCGCACGGCAGGCUUCGAAACAAAAAUAACACCCGAAAGGACACUGC